rnacentral:rRNA from 1 species
AAGCAUAUCAAUAAGCGGAGGAAAAGAAACCAACAGGGAUUGCCCCAGUAACGGCGAGUGAAGCGGCAACAGCUCAAAUUUGAAAUCUGGCCCUCGGGUCCGAGUUGUAAUUUGUAGAGGAUGCUUUUGGCGAGGUGCCUUCCGAGUUCCCUGGAACGGGACGCCAUAGAGGGUGAGAGCCCCGUCUGGUCGGAUACCAAGCCUCUGUAAAGCUCCUUCGACGAGUCGAGUAGUUUGGGAAUGCUGCUCAAAAUGGGAGGUAUAUGUCUUCUAAAGCUAAAUAUUGGCCAGAGACCGAUAGCGCACAAGUAGAGUGAUCGAAAGAUGAAAAGCACUUUGAAAAGAGGGUUAAAAAGUACGUGAAAUUGUUGAAAGGGAAGCGCCUAUGACCAGACUUGGGCCCGGUGAAUCAUCCAGCGUUCUCGCUGGUGCACUUUGCCGGGCACAGGCCAGCAUCAGUUUGGCGCGGGGGAUAAAGGCUUUGGGAAUGUGGCUCCCUCGGGAGUGUUAUAGCCCAUUGCGCAAUACCCUGCGCCGGACUGAGGUACGCGCAUUGCAAGGAUGCUGGCGUAAUGGUCAUCAGCGACCCGUCUUGAAACACGGACCAAGGAGUCGUCUUCGUAUGCGAGUGUUCGGGUGUCAAACCCCUACGCGUAAUGAAAGUGAACGCAGGUGAGAGCUUCGGCGCAUCAUCGACCGAUCCUGAUGUUCUCGGAUGGAUUUGAGUAAGAGCAUACGGGGCCGGACCCGAAAGAAGGUGAACUAUGCCUGUAUAGGGUGAAGCCAGAGGAAACUCUGGUGGAGGCUCGCAGCGGUUCUGACGUGCGAAUCGAUCGUCAAAUAUGGGCAUGGGGGCGAAAGACUAAUCGAAUCUUUCUAGUAGCUGGUUUUCUGCUGAAGUUUUCCUCUCAG